UGAAUACGAGAUGCUACGGCGUCGAAGCAGUCUAUGUCAUACUUCCAAGAAAAGCUUGCACUGUCAUAAACAAAUAAUGCCUGUACCAUAACCGACACAGGUGGGUAGGUAGAGUAUACUAAGGGGCGCGAGAUAACUCUCUCUAAGGAACUCGGCAAAAUGACUCCGUAACUUCGGGAGAAGGAGUGCCUUAUUUUAUAAGGUUGCAAUAACAAGAUCCAAGCAACUGUUUACCAAAAACACAGGUCUCCGCUAAGUCGUAAGACGAUGUAUGGGGGCUGACGCCUGCCCAGUGCCAGAAGGUUAAAGAAGUUGGUUAGCAUCCGCGAAGCUGAUAACUGAAGCCCUGGUGAACGGCGGCCGUAACAAUAACGGUCCUAAGGUAGCGAAAUUCCUUGUCGGGUAAGUUCCGACCCGCACGAAAGGCGUAAUGAUUUGGAUACUGUCUCAGAGAGGGGCUCGGUGAAAUAGACUUGUCUGUGAAGAUGCGGACUACCUGCACCAGGACAGAAAGACCCUAUGAAGCUUUACUGUAACUUGAAAUUGAAAUUGGACUUUACUUGCGCAGUAUAGGUGGGAGGCGUUGAGAAUAUUCUUGCGGGAAUGUUGGAGCCAUCAGUGAGAUACCACUCUUGUAAUGUUAGAUUUCUAACUUUGUAUCAUUAUCUGGUCAAAGGACAGUUUCAGGCGGGCAGUUUGACUGGGGCGGUCGCCUCCCAAACGGUAACGGAGGCGCACAAAGGUUUCCUCUGAACGGGUAGAAAUCGUAUCUAGAGUGUAAAGGCAUAAGGAAGCUUGACUGUGAGACCUACAAGUCGAGCAGGGACGAAAGUCGGUCUUAGUGAUCUGACGGUGCUGAGUGGAAAGGCCGUCACUCAACGGAUAAAAGUUACUCUAAGGAUAACAGGCUGAUCUCCCCCAAGAGUUCACAUCGACGGGGAGGUUUGGCACCUCGAUGUCGGCUCAUCGCAUCCUGGGGCGGUAGUACGUCCCAAGGGUUGGGCUGUUCGCCCAUGAAAGCGGUACGCGAGCUGGGUUCAGAACGUCGUGAGACAGUUCGGUCCAUAUCCGGUGUAGGCGUUAGAAUAUUGAGAGGAGCCUUCUUUAGUACGAGAGGACCGAGAAGGACAUACCUCUGGUGUACCAGUUAUCGUGCCAACGGUAAACGCUGGGUAGCUAUGUAUGGAGUGGAUAACCGCUGAAAGCAUCUAAGUGGGAAGCCCACCUCAAGAUAAGUAUUCUC
rnacentral:rRNA from 1 species